rnacentral:tRNA from 1 species
GGCUUGCUGGUCUAGUGGUAUGAUUCUCGCUGUGGGUGCGAGAGCUCACGGGUUCGAUUCCCGUGCAAGCCC